rnacentral:rRNA from 1 species
CCUACGGGCUGCAGCAGUGGGGAAUAUUGGACAAUGGGCGAAAGCCUGAUCCAGCCAUGCCGCGUGUGUGAAGAAGGCCUUCGGGUUGUAAAGCACUUUCAGUGGGGAAGAAAGCCUUGGGGCUAAUACCCUCGAGGAAGGACAUCACCCACAGAAGAAGCACCGGCUAACUCCGUGCCAGCAGCCGCGGUAAUACGGAGGGUGCGAGCGUUAAUCGGAAUUACUGGGCGUAAAGCGCGCGUAGGCGGUCUGAUAAGCCGGUUGUGAAAGCCCCGGGCUCAACCUGGGAACGGCAUCCGGAACUGUCAGGCUAGAGUGCAGGAGAGGAAGGUAGAAUUCCCGGUGUAGCGGUGAAAUGCGUAGAGAUCGGGAGGAAUACCAGUGGCGAAGGCGGCCUUCUGGACUGACACUGACGCUGAGGUGCGAAAGCGUGGGUAGCAAACAGGAUUAGAUACCCGUGUAGUC